CGAACGGCAGCGCGGGAGCAAUCCUGGCGGCGAGUGGCGAACGGGUGAGUAAUACAUCGGAACGUGCCCAAUCGUGGGGGAUAACGCAGCGAAAGCUGUGCUAAUACCGCAUACGAUCUACGGAUGAAAGCAGGGGAUCGCAAGACCUUGCGCGAAUGGAGCGGCCGAUGGCAGAUUAGGUAGUUGGUGAGGUAAAGGCUCACCAAGCCUUCGAUCUGUAGCUGGUCUGAGAGGACGACCAGCCACACUGGGACUGAGGCACGGCCCAGACUCCUACGGGAGGCAGCAGUGGGGAAUUUUGGACAAUGGGCGAAAGCCUGAUCCAGCCAUGCCGCGUGCAGGAUGAAGGCCUUCGGGUUGUAAACUGCUUUUGUACGGAACGAAACGGCCUUUUCUAAUAAAGAGGGCUAAUGACGGUACCGUAAGAAUAAGCACCGGCUAACUACGUGCCAGCAGCCGCGGUAAUACGUAGGGUGCAAGCGUUAAUCGGAAUUACUGGGCGUAAAGCGUGCGCAGGCGGUUAUGUAAGACAGUUGUGAAAUCCCCGGGCUCAACCUGGGAACUGCAUCUGUGACUGCAUAGCUAGAGUACGGUAGAGGGGGAUGGAAUUCCGCGUGUAGCAGUGAAAUGCGUAGAUAUGCGGAGGAACGCCGAUGGCGAAGG
rnacentral:rRNA from 1 species